GCCGCCCUAGCUCAGUUGGUAGAGCAACGCACUCGUAAUGCGUAGGUCAGGAGUUCGACUCUCCUGGGCGGCU
rnacentral:tRNA from 2 species